AGGAAGGUAGUGUAGUUAACACCUGCAUUAUUUGACGUUACCUACAGAAGAAGCACCGGCUAACUCCGUGCCAGCAGCCGCGGUAAUACGGGAGGGUGCGAGCGUUAAGUACGGAAUUACGUGGGACGUAAAGCGCAUGCAGGCGGCCGUGUUAAGUCAGAUGUAGAAACGGCCCGGGGACCGUUAACCGUACGGUAAGUUGCUAUUUAGUAAACGUGGCGAGGCUAGAGUCUUGUAGAGGGGGGUAGGAAUUUCAGGUGUAGCGGUGAAAUGCGUAGAGAUCUGAAGGAAUACCAGUGGCGAAGGCGGCCCCCUGGACAAAGACUGACGCUCAGAUGCGAAAGCGUGGGGAGCAAACAGGAUUAGAUACCCUGGUAG
rnacentral:rRNA from 1 species